CGGCGGACGGGUUAGUAACACGCGGAUAACCUACCUAUAAGACUGGGAUAACUUCGGGAAACCGUAGCUAAUACCGGAUAAUAUAUUGAACCGCAUGGUUCAAUAGUGAAAGACGGUUUUGCUGUCACUUAUAGAUGGAUCCGCGCCGCAUUAGCUAGUUGGUAAGGUAACGGCUUACCAAGGCAACGAUGCGUAGCCGACCUGAGAGGGUGAUCGGCCACACUGGAACUGAGACACGGUCCAG
rnacentral:rRNA from 1 species